GCUGGAUUUCUUUUUAAAGGGAGACAUGAGUAAUUUUACAACAUGGAGAAUCCAUUUGAUGAGGAGGCUGAAGACAAAUAAAGUAGGUUUUCCACCUUGUACUGAAAGCAACAGAUACAACAGGUCUGUUCUGUCAAGGGACACUAAUUAUCUUGAUUAGAAACAUAAAUGAUGAGAAGCCUCAAUUUGAGUAAGCAUAUUUAUUUCAAAGUGUAUACAUAGGAGAAUGGUUAAAAUAAACUUUUCACAUAUACAGUCGGCCCUUGGUAUCUGUGGGGCAUGCAUUCCAGGACUCCCCUGAAUACCAAAAGCUAUGGAUGCUCAAGAAUCUUUUAUAAUGGUGU
rnacentral:lncRNA from 1 species